rnacentral:rRNA from 1 species
UGAGGAAUAUUGGACAAUGGGCGCAAGCCUGAUCCAGCCAUGCCGCGUGCAGGAAGAAGCAUCUAUGGUGUGUAAACUGCUUUUGUACGGGAAGAAACACUCCUUCGUGAAGGAGCUUGACGGUACCGUAAGAAUAAGGAUCGGCUAACUCCGUGCAAGAAGCCGCGGUAAUACGGAGGAUCCAAGCGUUAUCCGGAAUCAUUGGGUUUAAAGGGUCCGUAGGCGGUUUAGUAAGUCAGUGGUGAAAGCCCAUCGCUCAACGAUGGAGCGGCCAUUGAGACUGCUAGACUUGAAUUAUUAGUAAGUAACUAGAAUAUGUAGUGUAGCGGUGAAAUGCUUAGAUAUUUCAGGGAAUACCAAGUGCGAAGGCAGGUUACUUCUAAUGGAUUGACGCUUAUGGACGAAAGCGUAGGGAGCGAAC